GACGAAGGAUGCAAGCGUUAUCCGGAUUCAUUGGGUUUAAAGGGAGCGUAGGUGGCCUUAUAAGUCAGUGGUGAAAUCUCUGGGCUUAACCCAGAAAUUGCCAUUGAUACUGUAGGGCUUGAGUAUAGUUCCGUUGGCGGAAUAUGACAUGUAGUGGUGAAAUACAUAGAGAUGUCAUAGAACACCGAUUGCGAAGGCAGCUGACGAAAACUAUAACUGACACUGAGGCUCGAAAGUGCGGGGAUCAAACAGG
rnacentral:rRNA from 1 species